GACGAACGCUGGCGGCGUGCUUAACACAUGCAAGUCGAACGGUAAGGCCCUUCGGGGUACCCGAGUGGCGAACGGGUGAGUAACACGUGGAUGAUCUGCCCUGCACUUCGGGAUAAGCCUGGGAAACUGGGUCUAAUACCGGAUAGGACCACUGCCUGCAUGGGUGGUGGUGGAAAGCUUUUGCGGUGUGGGAUGGGCCCGCGGCCUAUCAGCUUGUUGGUGGGGUGAUGGCCUACCAAGGCGACGACGGGUAGCCGGCCUGAGAGGGUGACCGGCCACACUGGGACUGAGAUACGGCCCAGACUCCUACGGGAGGCAGAAGUGGGGAAUAUUGCACAAUGGGCGCAAGCCUGAUGCAGCGACGCCGCGUGAGGGAUGGCGGCCUUCGGGUUGUAAACCUCUUUCAGCACCGGCGAAGCGCAAGUGACGGUAGGUGCAGAAGAAGGACCGGCCAACUACGUGCCAGCCGCCGCCGUAACAC
rnacentral:rRNA from 1 species